rnacentral:rRNA from 1 species
AUUAAUAGAUAUAUACUUUAAAUUUAAAGAAUUUGGCGGUAAUUUAGUCUUGUUAGAGGAACCUGUUUUUGAAUCGAUAAACCACGUAAAAUCUUACUUGUUUUUGUGUUCAGCUUAUAUACCGUCAUUAUCAGAUAAUCUUUAAAAAGUUUAAUUAUUAAAAUUUAAAAUUGUAUUAAACGAAAUUAGAUCAAGGUGUAGCUAAUAAACAAGUUAGAAUGGGUUACAAUAAAACUUAUUUAUUACGGAAUAAUUAUAAGAAGAUAUGUUAAACAAGGAGGAUUUAAUUGUAAUGAAAGUUCAAUAAGCUUUAAAGAUAUAAGCCCUAAAUUAU